UAUAAGCAGAUGUGCAGGGGGAGUUGGGGUGUUGGCUGCUAGAUCUCCAGGAAGAAGACAUGAUGUCUGGGGUGUGCAAUGUCCACAACAGAGGAACUGGUGAGGUGGUCACUCAGUUGGAGCUGGAGCUGUGAGUUUACCAAAAGUGUGUCUACUGUGGGCAUUCACGUGGGGCAGAGGACCACUGGAUGUUCCCAUAUCUGUGCCACUGGUAGCUACACAGAAGGAACAAGAAACAACAGAAACCCCUUCCUUGUUUAGUGUCCCUUCAGCAUCCUCUACUGACAAAGUUUAACAUCAAUCAAAGAAGAAAUGCUUAAAGGGUCAAGCUCCAAUAUCACAGAGCAAGUAAGAGUUGAUUUAGAGCUGACAGGGAAUCUGAUAACCGGCAGACUUGGUAUUCAGGUAUCUUCAUGAAGAGUAAAGCAUGACAAAAACAAUAAAUUGGAAAUACACAUGACAUCAAAUGUGACUAAAAUACGAUAAUUAAAGAAUUCUGUCACUGCUGUCAUUUCUUCAGUACACUCUGAAAAUGGGGAAAAUAAAUCAGAAAGCAUGAGCUGAAGAUCUUGUCCAGACUACUGAAGAGCUCAUAUUUGAAAUGAAAUCCAUCUGGCUUUCUACUACAUAACACUGCUCCUCUAAGUCAAGUCACAAAGGACAUAAAACGAACAGAUGAUAAGAGUGGAGCAGAUGAGCCAACUCAACUCAGGAACCUUGACCAACCCACCUAACAAACACAAGACAAAUGAGUGAGACCAUCUGGGACCAUUCAGCCCCAGACAACCUACCAGGUGACUGCAGACCACCCAACAGACCCACAGA